AGGGGUAGCCCUGAAGACCACUACAUGCUUCCCAGGUUGGAGAACACAAACUCUCCUUCAGGUACAGAAUUAUAAAGCCUGAUGAGAUCUUCAAUCUGGAGCAAGAAUCAAAAUGUGUAAACCAGCAAAUUCCAGGAAGCCUGAUGAAAAGCCAUUUGGGAAAAAACGUGCAUCUAAUGUACCUGAGAAACAACUCCAAAGUGAGGAAAAUCUCAGCAUGACAAGAUGCACACUUGUCAGCAAUGUUUGGAGCACAGAGUCGACAAGAAAACUUUCAGCAGUGGGAAGAAGAUAUUCAUUAUGCAUGAGAAAGUUUAUAUCAAAGACUCAGGUGAUAGGCCACCUGCCAUUGUAACAGAACCAAUUCUGAUUGAGAAGAUGUUCUACAAUCCUUAUUUUGGCAAGCAUCAGCAAACAUACUCAGGAGAGAAACUCCAUGAGCAUUUCAAUAGGGACAAAUCUUUUAUAUACAAAACCAACCUCAAAGUAAAUCAGAUAAGUCAUAUUGCAAAAAGUUAUUAUACAUGUUCCUAUUGUAAAAAAUCUUUCAGCUGUAAAUCUUGCCUUACAAUCACACAGACAACUGAAACAGGAGACAAUUUGUAUAUGUGCAAUGAAUGUAAGUCAGAAUUAAUUAGAGAGCAGAUCCUUCACAUUGGAGAGAAAUCGUAUGAAAGUAAUAAGCAUGGGAAAGCUAAUGAUAGGAAUUCAGUACUCCAUACACAUAAGUAAAUUCAAAAAGGGAAGGAAUCUUAUGAACACAGUGUGUGUGACAAAGCCUUUUUCAGUGAGACUGACCUCAUAACCGAUCAGAGAAUUCACCCAGGUGAAAAACCUU